rnacentral:rRNA from 1 species
UACGUAGGGUGCAAGCGUUGUCCGGAAUUAUUGGGCGUAAAGAGCUCGUAGGCGGUCUGUCGCGUCUGCUGUGAAAAUCAGGGCUCAACCCUGGACCUGCAUUCGAUACGGGCAGACUAGAGUUCGGUAGGGGAGUCUGGAAUUCCUGGUGUAGCGGUGAAAUGCGCAGAUAUCAGGAGGAACACCGGUGGCGAAGGCGGGACUCUGGGCCGAUACUGACGCUGAGGAGCGAAAGCAUGGGGAGCGAACAGG